CACGGUGCCUGGCCUGGUGGGUGGCGGUGGGGUGUGCAGAGCAGCCUCUAAGCACUGAGCUCAGACUCCUGCCAGGCAGGAGAUCCUGGGCUCUCCCCUGCUCGCCCAUGGCUGCCUCCCCCCAGGCAGGAAUUCUCCACAUUUCAGAAGCCAUUUGUUCAGGGGGAUGGCAUUAGUUCACACAGGAUCCAGACGAAUCUAAAGAAAAUGAUAAAAGUAACAAAAACUCCUCCCCCAGUGUAUUCCUCAAAUCCAUCCAGGAGUUCCAAGAGCCAUCAGCUUGUUUCCGUUCUGGCCCUUGGCUGAGGAUCCUUAAGCACCACCUGGUGGCCAUGAGGCAUCACAACAGACAAUGAAAUCCUAAGUUCUUAGGAACUUAGCAUUCUGACAUCACCCCACCCAACAAAGAUCAUGUGCCCUAGCAACAACGGAACUUUAUUAUUUAGAAGUCACCCCAUCUCCUAGGAAAGGAUAAAGAUAUAUCACCCAUGCUGAAAGAAAAUGAGCCAAACUUGAGUUUAGGAGAUGGCAGCCACACACAACAGGCUGUCUUGUAAGGGGCACAGCAGCAACCCCAGGCCACCGAGGGCAGAGCCUCCAGGACCCACCACUGGAGAUGACUCUGCCUGCGAAGACUCACUUCACCGUUAGAGAAGCGUGGCCUUCCCUGGUGGCUCUAGGUUCACAGUACACAGAAUUACCUGCUUUGAGGCAACGCUUCUCUUAACAAGUAGUGACUUAAGAAACAAGGUGUAUGUAAUACUAGUGCCUGGGAAGGAAAAACCACCAAGUAUGGAAGAGAUCAGUUAUGACAGCAGACAGGCUCUUUCACAAAGUAUACUGAACGAUUCCUAUGAGUCACUGCCUAGGAUGGCUCCUCCAGCUGCAGUCCAAGGAAGCCAGGCUGGCUCCUCUGUCUACAAGCAUCAUCACAGCAGCCCCAGGAGCCAUUUCUGUAACAGGACAAAUGCUGACUGCCAGUGAUCAGACACUGAACCUGAAAGCUGAACCCCAUCUUCCUGUCAUGGAGUUUGCUUCUUCCCUGGUCUCCCCGCUGCAUCGACUUUCAUCCAAUGCACCUGCUGCUGGCUCAAUCUUCCUGGGGCCACAUCUAGCUCCUAAGGAUUAAGCAUUUCCAACUUGGAGUUGAUAGGUCUAAGAAACAGUUGUCCAGAUCAGGCUCCCCUUGUCAUGCAACAACAGGAUAUAGUGGUUUCUGUAGUUCAGUCCCAUUCCUUUAGGGAUUAGAAAUAAAAGAUGGGAAAUGAG